AGAGUUGUAUCCUGGCUCAGAACGAACGCUGGCGGCAGGCUUAACACAUGCAAGUCGAACGCAUCGCAAGAUGAGUGGCAGACGGGUGAGUAACGCGUGGGAACCAUACCCUUUUCUACGGAAUAGCUCUGGGAAACUGGAAUUAAUACCGUAUACGCCCUACGGGGGAAAGAUUUAUCGGGGAAGGAUUGGCCCGCGUUGGAUUAGCUAGUUGGUGGGGUAAAGGCCUACCAAGGCGACGAUCCAUAGCUGGUCUGAGAGGAUGAUCAGCCACAUUGGGACUGAGGCACGGCCCAAACUCCUACGGGAGGCAGCAGUGGGGAAUAUUGGACAAUGGGCGCAAGCCUGAUCCAGCCAUGCCGCGUGAGUGAUGAAGGCCUUAGGGUUGUAAAGCUCUUUCACCGAUGAAGAUAAUGACGGUAGUCGGAGAAGAAGCCCCGGCUAACUUCGUG
rnacentral:rRNA from 1 species